GUCCGCACCGUAAACGAUGAUUACUCGCUGCUAGAGGGCAACUUUUAGUGGCUUAGCGAAAGCGAUAAGUAAUCCACCUGGGGAGUACGCCGGCAACGGUGAAACUCAAAAGGAAUUGACGGGGGCCCGCACAAGCGGAGGAGCAUGUGGUUUAAUUCGAUGAUACGCGAGGAACCUUACCAGGGCUUGAAAGUUAGGGAAUAACUCUGAAAGGAGUUAGUCAGCAAUGACCCGAAAUAGGUGCUGCAUGGCUGUCGU
rnacentral:rRNA from 1 species